rnacentral:rRNA from 1 species
CUAAUAGGCAAGCUAUAUUGCAUUGUAUAUAAGAUAUAAAAUAAUUGAAGUUCUAGUUACAUUUUUAGGGGGUAAAAUUUUAAAAAUGCUAUAUAACUGUGAUUUUGUUUCUUGAAAUUUUGCUCAAAAACCAGGAUUAGAUACCCUGCUAUUCUAAACUAAAAUUAUAUAUUGGGCACUACAAACCACUGUCUAAAACCCAAAAAACUUGGCGGUGCUUUAAACUAUAGCAGGGGAACUUGUCUCAUGAUCGAAAGUCCACGUUAGACCUAACUUUUUUUACCGGUUUAUGUAUUGUUGUCGCCAGAUAAUUUUUAAGACUAUUAUCUUUAAGCCACUAUGCUAGGACGUCAAAUCAAAAUGUAGCCAAUAAGAAAGCAGAGGUGAGUUACAUUUAAUAGUUUUUUCCGAGAGUAAUGAAAUUUGCUCGUGAAAUAGGACUUGCCUGUAAAACCUCCAAGAUAAGUUUUUUGAAUAAACCCUAAAGCGUGCACAUAU